UACGAAGGGGGCUAGCGUUGUUCGGAUUUACUGGGCGUAAAGCGCACGUAGGCGGAUCGUUAAGUCAGGGGUGAAAUCCUGGGGCUCAACCCCAGAACUGCCUUUGAUACUGGCGAUCUCGAGUCCGGAAGAGGUGAGUGGAACUCCUAGUGUAGAGGUGGAAUUCGUAGAUAUUAGGAAGAACACCAGUGGCGAAGGCGGACUCACUGGUCCGGUACUGACGCUGAGGUGCGAAAGCGUGGGGAG
rnacentral:rRNA from 1 species